rnacentral:rRNA from 1 species
GAUGAACGCUGGCGGCGUGCCUAAUACAUGCAAGUCGAGCGAACGGACGAGAAGCUUGCUUCUCUGAUGUUAGCGGCGGACGGGUGAGUAACACGUGGAUAACCUACCUAUAAGACUGGGAUAACUUCGGGAAACCGGAGCUAAUACCGGAUAAUAUUUCGAACCGCAUGGUUCAAAAGUAAAAGACGGUCUUGCUGUCACUUAUAGAUGGAUCCGCGCUGCAUUAGCUAGUUGGUAAGGUAACGGCUUACCAAGGCAACGAUGCAUAGCCGACCUGAGAGGGUGAUCGGCCACACUGGAACUGAGACACGGUCCAGACUCCUACGGGAGGCAGCAGUAGGGAAUCUUCCGCAAUGGGCGAAAGCCUGACGGAGCAACGCCGCGUGAGUGAUGAAGGUCUUCGGAUCGUAAAACUCUGUUAUUAGGGAAGAACAUAUGUGUAAGUAACUGUGCACAUCUUGACGGUACCUAAUCAGAAAGCCACGGCUAACUACGUG